CUGGUUUGCGGCCCAUCAGCAUCAUGUCCUCCACUUCAAUCAAGCGGUCACAGUUGGCCAUUUUUCUGCAAAGGGAGGCAAAGCAUCAGAUUUAGGAAGGAAGGCAAUUUGGAAAAAUUGGAAAUCGAAAAAUGGAGGAAAACUAUCAUCCAAGGCGAGAGAAGAAAAUCAGAGCUCAAAAUUAGACCGUUAACCCAUCAAGCCAGGUUAGAUCCCUCAUAUCAAAAGGCUACGUGUCAACAAGUCAGCAUUUGCCCAACAGCCCAUUUGACUAGCAUGAGAUUCUAUGCAGGAAAAAAAGAGCGAAUCAAACUUCCAGAGCCUGUGCAGUAUCACUCGAAAAGCCAGUUUGACUUUCACCACAUCAGAAACUGGUAAAAAUUUAUGUUCUCACUAAAAGAACUUCCUUUCCUUACC